rnacentral:rRNA from 1 species
UAGGACGAUCAUAGUGGCUUGGGUACACCCGAUCUCAUCUCGAACUCGGAAGUUAAGCAAGCUUACGUUCCAGAUUGUACUGUAUUCUUUUACGGGAACUCUGGAAAGUUGUCCAUU